AAUCCAUAGGUUAAUGAGGCGAACCGGGGGAACUGAAACAUCUAAGUACCCCGAGGAAAAGAAAUCAACCGAGAUUCCCCCAGUAGCGGCGAGCGAACGGGGAGGAGCCCAGAGCCUGAAUCAGCAUGUGUGUUAGUGGAAGCGUCUGGAAAGGCGCGCGAUACAGGGUGACAGCCCCGUACACAAAAGCGCAUGUGCUGUGAGCUCGAUGAGUAGGGCGGGACACGUGGUAUCCUGUCUGAAUAUGGGGGGACCAUCCUCCAAGGCUAAAUACUCCUGACUGACCGAUAGUGAACCAGUACCGUGAGGGAAAGGCGAAAAGAACCCCGGCGAGGGGAGUGAAAAAGAACCUGAAACCGUGUACGUACAAGCAGUGGGAGCACCCUUUGGGGUGUGACUGCGUACCUUUUGUAUAAUGGGUCAGCGACUUAUAUUCUGUAGCAAGGUUAACCGUAUAGGGGAGCCGUAGGGAAACCGAGUCUUAAC
rnacentral:rRNA from 1 species